CUGAACAAUCUGAACUCUGCCUUUAUUUGGUGCCACAGGUAAGCCAGGAGGGGGCGCAUGGUUCCCACAUCAUGACAACCACAGGGUGCAGGUGAUGCCACCUUUUCUGACCAUGGAGGCUCCCACGUGUUCAACAUCGGCUGCUUUAGAGGACGAGACCUGCGUUCUGCUCAGCACACACUGAGCACCAUCACCUCACUGGGGGACAGCUGGAAGCAGAGGGGCAGCAGUGAAGUUGGAAGUUUCCUUGGUGGCACAAGAAGAAAAGCUGAUGAAAUGGCUGUUGGAGGGCCUGCAUAAGGGUGGCAGGUAGGGCAUUUAGAAGUCACAUUUGAGGGUUCCUGAGGGGUUUGUCUCUGACUUUAAUAAAUUAUUGUUUUAAACUUGCCUGAUAUGACUGCCAAGAGGGCAGUCAAUUUUACAAUGUUUAUGAUGAUCUGGGUUGUCUCCAAAAUCAAAGUAAGCUUAAACAUAGAAAAUUUCAAAGUGGUUUUUUUUUUCCCAUCUUGAGAAAAGAUCUAGUUGUUGAAUAGUAUUAAAAUGAACACUUCCCUCAGGAAGCCAGGCCUGCCUGUCUGGAGCUGGUAAGAUAGCAAUGCCCUUUUGCCAAAACAAACAAACAAAACCACUUUUUUUUCAGAGUCACAUGGUCAAAUAAAUUCCAGUGUUUCUGAAUGCAACCUAGAGAAGUCCAGAAUGCAGAAGGUUUAUGACCUUUCAAAAUAUAUAGAAAGAGAAAGAAUCCCACAGUCUCUUUCCUCUUUUUGAAAAACCCUGAGUGAAAAGAAAGAUAGAAAGUGUGUUCAUUGUUUUUUCAUUUUUCUUGUCUUUUAUGGAUCUGGCAACUAUCAUAGUUGUCCUCCAUGGAUACAAUCAUAAUCUUCACCCAUGGUUCCAGAGGAGCUAGUAAGAAGGAGAAGUAAUGUUCACCUGCACAAGGCGUUAGCUCUCCACUAGUGAUCCUUUGUUGGUCUCCUAAGCAUACUCAACCCAGAAGAUUCCAAAGGUAGCUUGGCAACCUAAGAAAGAUUAUGGGUAGUUUGAUUUGAGCAAGGACCUUUUGCACAGUGGAUGUUCAAUACUAUUUCUGUCUUUCUUUGCUGUUGCCCUAGUAAAAUCUUGAAAUUCCAGAAAAUGAGAUCGAUUGACUUUGAAACAUAAAAUUCUCUUUUAGUUUAAAUGCCAUUGCUGCUGGAAGCAGAAUACAUGCCUCCAAAAAUGUAGGACUUGAAUGGCUGGUCUUCUUAAAAUAGCACUAAGUGGCCGGGUGCGGUGGCUCAUGCCUGUAAUCCCAGCACUUUGGGAGGCAGAGGUGGGCAGGUCAUGAGGUCAGAAGUUCGAGAUCAGCCUGACCAAUAUGGUGAAACGUCAUCUAUACAAAAAUUACAAAAAUUAGCUGGGCAUGGUGGUGUGCACCUGUAAUCACUGCUGCUCAGGAGGCUGAGGCAGGAGAAUCACUUGAACUCGGAAGGUGGAGAUUACAAUAGCCGAGAUUGCAUGACUGUGCUACAGCCUAGGCAACAGAAUGAGACUCCAUCUCAAAGCAGAGAGAGAGAGAAAAGCCCGGAGCUAGAAUAUGUCUCUCAAAGGCAACUUUCUGCCAACUAUUGAAAGUGGAUAUUUUCUGUUUACAGAUAGGGCAUGGAGUCUUAUUACUGUUAGAGAGGCACAGUAGAGAGAGGAGUUGAAAACCUCAGGGUUUUGGGCAAAGUACUGACAAGUCUUCCUACAGAGAAAAAUUUCAUCACACUAGGUGACAUGGUAAGAUCUAAAAUGUUAGAUGAAAACUCUGACUCCAAGGUUUUUGUAGCCAAAAUUUAGAAAAAGAAGGGGAAAACUCUAUAGGCUGUCCCCACAGUUCGUGUCUCUGCAGAAAAAAAGAUUAAUGUGUCUCAAUAAAGAAACUGUUUAGAUUUAUAUGGCAAUGCUGAGCUUUUUACAGAGAAAUAACCAACAAAAAGAAAAACUUUCUUCUGAAUGUAUAUCUUUCCAUAGAGUGCCAUGAAUAUCUGUCACAGGGGGACAAAAAGACACUCACCAAAUAAAAAUUUUUAAGAGUACAAUUUGAGUUCUUUCUGGUUCCAAAAAAAUCACAAAAUAGCAUCUCUUUUAAUUAUAUUUCUAAUUACUAACACACCAGCUGACAUUACCCCAUAAGAUUAUAUCUCCAGGUUUCAACAUUCAUACAAAGAGGAAAUAGAAUAUAUAAUAGUCACAAAAAGAAAAAAAAUGCAACAGAAAUUUCUGGAAUUUUUGGUGGCAACAUAAUUAUGGGCUGUCAGAAACUGUAGUUAGUCCUGAGGCUUUCAGGUAACACUGUGGUGUAGUCUUAACCAGAAACCUUCAGUUUUUCUAGAUUUUCUUUCAGCCCCACAUGAUGACUAGGUCCUGCAUGAAAGAAGACUGAAUUGGAACAGAGGCAACAUUUUUGACACCUAAGGGUAAACGGGGAUUGCCAGAGUGUUUCCCAGCAGGCCUAUCUCCUGAGCCUUGUAAGGAUGGUAGCCAUUUUAUUGGGUUUUAACUGACACUGGCCCAGUGUUUUGUGUGCUCUUGAGAAAUUAAAAAAGAAAACCCUGAGGACAACAAGCCUCAGAAGUGAAUGUAAAUAGUUUGGAGGUGCACUCCUAGUCACUUUUUAAUUAAUCUUUUUCCAGCUCAUGCAAAAAAAACAUAGUUGCUGUCCCCCAACGCACCACAGUGUAUCAGUUUCUCAUUCUGAGGUGUCACAUAGAUUUUUUUUUAUCUAAAGGCCAAGAAAUUAAGAGCCAUGAAUGAAAAUGAUGAGAUUGUAGCAAAUGUUUAAUAAGUUAACUUCUUGUGGAGGAAAGUGAGUUGUCCACGAUAAGGAAGUGUCUGAUGUUUUUUAUGGAAUGGGAAGAAACAGAAUGUCCUAACUAUUCUUGAAGAAAGCGCUACUGAACUUUUCCAGGGACUUUGACGUGGGACAAAUUAGGAGCUAAAGUAGUGACUCAGAAGUGAUUCAGCUUGGCUCAGGAACUUGGCCCUGGAUCAUUCAAGAGCUAAAAUAAUAGUGUGGCCUAGGACCAGCCAAACUCAAACUGCUUCUGAGAAACAGACAGCCCUACAUGCAACAAGAGAGAUUCAGGGACAACUGCACGUUGUCUACAGCCAGCGUAAAAUACAAAAGGUACUCAAAGGGACCAUAUUGAAUCAGAAACCAGAUAAAAAUUUUUCAGCCUUUAUGAAAAGGCAAAGAGGGACGUUCAUGAAACACACUUUUGUAGCUCCUCAAUCAAUUAAUACAUUGAUAGUCUUAAAAGGCAAGUUUAUUACUCAGGCACCUACUAAUAUCAGAAGAAAACUUCAGAGGCAGGCUCUGGAAUUGUACACUACCUUGGGAAACUUCGUGGGCAUAGCCUUCUCUAUCUUUUAUGACAGGACUCAGGAACAGCCACAGCAAAAAGAGAUGAUGCAAAAGAAAGACAAAGACUAGUGACCCAAUUACAGGCCUAUAAAAUCCAAGAUAUUUGACAUUCACCUGUAAACUCCUCUCAGUGAGGUAAGCCAGGGUACCUUAGGAAGAAUGGCUAAGGCAUCAAAAUGUAGCUACCUUGACCCUUUCCAUCCUGUGUUGGUGACUACUACAUGUUGGACUGCCUCCAAGAGUGUUCAUCACAGUGUGGGGCCAGUUUCCCAGAUGGUCCAGUAAGACUAAUGCAUCCCAGAUCUCAAUUCCCACACUUCAUUUGUUGCCAUCUCAUUAAUGCACCACAAUGUAGCAAUCUCUCAUUGUGAGGUGUCAAGCAGAUCUCUUUGUCUCAUGGCCAAGAAAAUUAAGGAGCAUGGAUGCAAACAGGUUGAAGCAAAAGUUUUAUAAGUGAAAGUAAAAAGCUCUUUACAGUGGAGGUGGGGUGUAAGUUGUGUGCCUACUAUAAGGCUGGGCUUCAGGGUUAAUAAAGACAGAAAACGAAAGAAAUGUGCUUAGUGGUCUUGGAGAAACAUUACUCAGCCUGGCCCUGCACUUUGGCUGGGGAUUCUUCAGGAGGUUAAGUAAUGAUUUAUAGAUACAACUUAGCUUGGCCUUCAUCCUUUGCCCUGGACCAAGCAGCAGCUAAAGUGAAAGCUUGGUCUGAUACCUUGGCCUGGGACCAAUAACAUGCUGAAGUGUUGUUUCAUGACCAAGAUAAUUAAGGAAACUACACAUAAAGUUCAGAUAGGACAGAAGUUUAAUAAUCAAAAGAAGAAAGCUGUUCACAUUAAAGAAGGGACCCAUGAGACUUUCCAACUGUAAUGCUGGGUCUGAGGUUUUUGUGAACUGGAAAGAAAGAAAUAUUCUGAGUUGCAUGUGAGCUAUCUUGAAGAAAGCAGUAAUCAGCUUGGUUCAGGACCUGACCCGGGACAAAUCAGAGGAUGAAAUAAAAGCUUUGUUUGGGGCAUUGCAUCAGGAAAAAGCAGAAGCUGAAGGGAUGAAUCAGAAACACUUGGCUCACAGGUCAAAACAUAUUCAAAUUAGAAAAGUGUCCCAGCAGAGCCCACUAGAGCCUACUAGGUAUCAUGCCCACAAAGA
rnacentral:lncRNA from 10 species